rnacentral:rRNA from 1 species
UUUUUAAAUUGCUGUGGUAUUUUGACUAUACAAAGGUAUUGAAAUAAGAUUUUAAUUGAAUGCUAAGAGAAUGGAAUUUCAGAAAAAAACUUUUUUUAAAUUAAAAAUUGAAAUUUUUUUAAUUUGUGCAGAAACAAUUAUUAACAUUAAGGACAAGAAGACCCUAUGAAUUUUUAAAAUUUUUAAUAAUAGUAAUUUAUUAUUAUUAAAAAUUUUAGCUGGGGCGGCUAAAAAAUAUAAUUAACUUUUUAAGAAUAAAACGAUCCACUAAUAAUGAUUACAUGUUAAAUACUCUAGG